rnacentral:rRNA from 1 species
GGCGGACGGGUGAGUAACACGUGACCAACCUGUCUUUAGGAGGGGGACAACCCGAGGAAACUUGGGCUAAUACCGCAUAAAGUCCGACUAUCUCAUGGUGGACGGAUGAAAGGGGGCCUCUACUUGUAAGCUCUCACCUAAAGAGGGGGUCGCGGCGUAUCAGCUUGUUGGUGGGGUAACGGCCUACCAAGGCUACGACGCGUAGCGGGUCUGAGAGGACGACCCGUCACAUUGGGACUGAGAUACGGCCCAG